UACGGAGGGGGCAAGCGUUGUUCGGAAUUACUGGGCGUAAAGGGCGCGCAGGCGGCUGCUCAAGUCAGGCGUGAAAGGCCUGGGCUCAACCCGGGAAUUGCGCUUGAGACUGGGCUGGCUUGAGUGCGGGAUAGGAUGGUGGAAUUCCCAGUGUAGAGGUGAAAUUCGUAGAUAUUGGGAAGAACACCGGUGGCGAAGGCGGCCAUCUGGACCGCAACUGACGCUGAGGCGCGAAAGCGUGGGGAGCAAACAGG
rnacentral:rRNA from 1 species